UCCACCAAUUGGUACGAACUAGAAGACCCCUUUCUGAAGAUGUUUCUGAGGUUCAUAAUUAUGAGAAGUAACAAACCUGUUGAUUUCAGUGGUGCUGGCUUUGUUGAAAUCAACAUGGCUGCUGUGCUUAUGGUUUUCAAAGCAACCCUUUCGUUUCAUUCGUUCAUGGUUGCAAUGGAGUCUAAAUAAGAAUACUUUGCACUAAAGAUGUUCCAUAGAUAGAUAUGUCAUGAAAAUAAAUUAUUGCACAACCUA